UAAUUUUCAGCCCAGUUUGAGAGUCACUGUUAGAUCUGUAAAUUGUGAAGCAGUUCUUAAUAUUUGAUAAUUUUGAUUAAGAGUGUGAUUAUUUGUUUUAGAAAGGACUCCUAAUACUCGUUUUUUGGAUUGCUGUGCCAUUGUUAAGGAGUUCACAGCGAUGUAGUGAUGGGUGAGACUGACAGAGCUUAACUCUCACCUCUUGUUCGCAUCUAACUAUUAAAUUUAGAAAUGGGCCAGGCACACAAAAGCGCUUCCAGGAUCUAUGUAGAAAGAAAUACAUUGCUGUGUGUUUGUAGCUCCGCCCAUCAUUUGAGGGUGGUGAUAAAUAUUACGAAGAAAGUAUAGCAGGAAAAGUUGUGCCAAGAUGAAAAAAACAAGGCCUAGUGAUGUUAAGGAAACUGCCAAAUAUUGGAGUCAGGAAGAGGUAAACCUGGGGUUUGAACUCAGUGUAGUUCCAGAACCUACCUUCCUAAUUGCUACCAGAAAAGAGUCACCAACAUUAAAAAAAAAAAGUCAAAAGAUUUCACGGAAUCAUGGGAUUCAUGCCCUCUCUUGAACAAUUGUAACAUAUGCAAUAUUGAAGUGUGACCAGGGCUAAGGACGGCUGGAGAGAAGACCGCCCAUUUCUGUAGCUCUUGUCCAAUUUCUGAAAGGGUCUGCUAUCCCUGUAACAUGACCAUGCACUGACAAGAGGAUGACAUUGAACUAAGAAAUCCUACUGGGUCAAUGUUCUGUUUCUUCUCUUAUUUUCUCUCCACCCUUUUCUGGGCCACCCUGUGCUUUGGGAGGCUAACAGGUUGAGGAUGAGGACUGAUCCUGGAUGCCUGUCUCUGAAAACAGCCCCUUCAUGAUGACUCUUCAGCCCUUUGAAUGUGCCACCUGAUUCCCCAGGGGCCCUGACUGUGGCCACAAUGACCACCAUGUGGAUACUAACUCAACUUUUCCUAAAUGAAGAAUUAUCUGUCUUGUUUGGGAUAAUCUGUGUCUUCUCUUGUUUUUAGCCAUUGGACAGGUCUGCCAAAAGGAUUCUGACCUGAAGAAAUGUGUACAACUGGAUCUUGGAAGAUUAUAGGGAUUUGGAAGCCUUUACUGUUUCCCAUCAGCAAACUGGCUGCUUUCUUUCAGUUGAAGGGAGGCUAAGGCCCUGUCUGCUCUUUCUCUGGUCCCUCUUGCCACUCCCUGUGCUUGACCUUGAACUCCUAAGCUCAGCCAGUCCUUCCUUUGCACUCACCCCUUCUGCUCUCAACCAGCCUGCAGGCAGGAUACCCUGAUCUUUGGUGGGACCCACGGAAUGUUCACACAGGACACAGCUUCUUUCUUCUCUCCUGCUUCCGGCACCCAGCUUCCCUGCCAGUCGUCACGCUGCCCAGGCUUGGCCUGCUGCUCAUAUGCAGCAUCUCUGCUCCCACUUGCUGGCAGGCACUGCCAACCAUUGCUUCUCUCCUUCAAAAUAUUUCUUGUGUUCCUCUUUGCACCCUUGUCAUCUCAGUUCAGACCUUCCUGUGCCUCAUGCACUUCUCUGUCAGGAUUUCCAACUGGCUUUCCUUUUUACGGCCUAUCUCCAACACAAGACAGCCCAUAGACUAUUGCCACAUUAGUUUUCCUGAAACUUGGCUUUCAUUUUGUCCCUUCUCUGUAUGACCUUCCACAACUCUCUGCUGCCCAUAAGACAGAAUCUGAACUCCUGUCCUUGGCAUCCAAAGCAGCAUACAGUCUGCUUCUUGGCCUAUUUAUCCUCUGAUAAACCUGCUCUGCCCUUUCUCUCCCUUCUGACCACACUAGGGGCUUUCCCGCCUCCACCCCGUGCUCAUCUCCUACCCCACCCCAGGGGUGCCCUCGUCUUGCUUCCCUGGGUGAACACCACCCAUUCUCUGGAGCUGGACUCCAAUGCUACUUGCUUUCUGAAACCCUGGCCACUACAAGCCACAGUGAUAAUUCCCUCCUUUUGAGCCCUGUGAGAAGUCUCAGGACAUGUUUGCCAAACUGAAGUUCAACUCCUGAGGACAUUGUUGGCCCUAGUCAUUUGCGGCUUCUAACAAUGUUGGGACCACAUGCCCUGCAAGGUAGGAGGCUCAUAUCACUUACCACAUGAAUAAAUAAAUACACAAAAUA